rnacentral:lncRNA from 1 species
AUGAGACACCCACCAAAAUUAACAGAAAUCGAAGGUGUGGAAAGGAUCUCAGACAAGCGAAUCCAUCACUGUUACUGUACAGAUAAGAAAUGGAGGUCAAAUAGGAUUAGCAACUUGCUCCGGACUCCACAGGUAAUAAGACUCAGAAUCCAAAUACGUAUCUUCUGCUUGCUGGUGCAUUGUUCUUUCUUUUAUACCACACCAUCUGAUAGCCUCGCAU